GUGACCCUGGGUUAAACGGCCGCGGUAUUUUAACCGUGCGAAGGUAGCGCAAUCACUUGUCCUUUAAAUGAAGACCUGUAUGAAUGGCUAGACGAGGGCUUAGCUGUCUCCUCCCCCCGGUCAAUGAAAUUGAUCUCCCCGUGCAGAAGCGGGGAUGCUAACAUAAGACGAGAAGACCCUAUGGAGCUUUAGACACUAGACAGCCUACGUUAAACUUCCCCUCUAAUAGGGAAAAAACAUUGUGGCUCCUGUCUCUCCUGUCUUCGGUUGGGGCGACCGCGGAGGAUAAAAGAGCCUCCAUGUGGACCGAGGUUACUAAUCUCACAGCUAAGAGCUGCAGCUCCAAGCACCAGAAAUUCUGACCAAGAUGAUCCGGCACACUGCCGAUUAACGGAACAAGUUACCCUAGGGAUAACAGCGCAAUCCUCUCCCAGAGUCCCUAUCGACGAGGGGGUUUACGACCUCGAUGUUGGAUCAGGACAUCCUAUUGGUGCAGCCGCUAAUAAGGGUUCGUUUGUUCAACGAUUAAAGUCCU
rnacentral:rRNA from 1 species